UCACAUGAAUAAAGGGUUUGACUUUUAAGUUUAACAACCACGAAAGCAUCGGCGUGCACAUCAGAGCCCACCAGAGGGUGACAGAACGCAGUUGUAAAAUGAAGAGUAUUUUAAAGUCUCACAGGGUUAUUGACUACCAACCUCUGUGUCUCUGAUGAGAACCUCAUCCAGCCCAAGCUGAUAGCAAUUGCUUUCCCUCUGAGGGAAGUGAAGAGAAACAAGACUCUUCUGCCUACCCCCACCUUCCCCACCUUGUUGCUGGCCAAAGUAGCCCCUGUGGAAAAUACAUGCAGAAGCAGCAGUUUCUUCCCUUCCUUCGAAAAUCUGCACCCAUUGUUUGUGCUGAUGCAGACAUUUAAUUUGAUGUGCAGAGACGAUCCCACCCAGAAGUAAGAAUCAAGCCCAAAUUCCUCUCCAACAUCUUGAGGAGCAGCCUGGCUCCAUUGCCCCCACCUCCCCACUGGCAGCAUAGCCCCGUGGACGAAAGAUCUAGGUGAGUAGGACCUGGCACUCACUGGAGCUGCCCUCUGAAGCUCAUCCAAUAAUCCACUCCACUGGAUGCAGGAGGUAUGGAGAUAAUGACUAUUUCCUGAAUAUCGUGCUGUUUAAACAGCCCCACUGCAGUGUUUCGAGAAAUUCAGGAUGUUUUUGCAUCCCAGGUGCUGCUGGAGCUGCCCAGCUAAACUAAACACAGUGCACAGGCAUUGAGAACAGGUGGUGGCUGGCCAGAUUGCUGGCAGUCAGGAUGGCGGCGGUUGUUUUUCUUGUUCCAGCAGUUGGCAGAGGAAGGCAUGCUUCAGUACAAUCAGUAGCUUUCCACUCUCAAAAAGGAAUGUUUUCCUGGACACUAGAGCAUGAAGACACGCUCUACACUGCUCAAAAGCCCUUUCAGAGACAGAGCGAAGUCCAAAACUGCAGACUGCCAUCCAGAAUCUUCCUCCAUUUAUCCCUGUUCUUAGUUGAAGCAUUUUGGCUUGCAGAAUGGGAGGCCCAGUCUAGCUAGCUCAAAAGAGGGUGUGUGUGUGUGUGUGUGUGUGUGUGUGUGUGUGUUAACUACUUUCCUGCUUGUGGCCAUGGGCCCUCUGCCCACUUGCUUCUGUCACCUUCUUGGAAAGGCCUUCCUUGACGGCAGCAUAUGGUGAUAUCUCUCUCUCCCAAUUAUACUCCAUCAGAUAACCCUGUUUUAUCAUUCCAUUUCCUUUAUCACUGCAAUGUAUCAAAUGUUUGUGUCCACUCUCCCCCACACAACUGG